rnacentral:misc_RNA from 1 species
UAUAAAUAAGACCCAGUUCUUACACUAAUUUAACAAAAUCUUCAAUUCUCAUCUGCAAAUAUGAAGAAGAAUCUUUUCCUUUCCCUCCUCAUUUCCUCCCUCUUUUCCCUUUCCCUCUCAGAACUCUGCAACCACCAUGACAAGAAAGUUCUCCUCCAAAUCAAACAAGACUUUGGCAAUCCUUACCUUCUUGCUUCUUGGAAGGGAGACACUGAUUGCUGCACACAAUGGUACCAGGUCGAGUGUGACUCUACCACCCACCGUAUCAUUUCCCUCACCAUUUUUGCUGGUAAUCUUUCUGGAGAAAUUCCCCCUGCUGUUGGUGAUUUGCCUUAUCUCCAGACCCUUGUGUUCCAUAAGCUAACAAACGUUACAGGCCCCAUACAACCAGCCAUUGCCAAGCUCAAAAGCCUCAACUUUCUCAGGCUUAGUUGGCUAAGCCUCACUGGAUCAGUGCCUGACUUUCUUGGCCAACUCAAGAAUCUCACGUUCUUGGACCUGGCUUUUAACAGACUCUCUGGAUCAAUACCGAGUUCGCUUGCUUUACUGCCAAAUCUUGGUGCCCUGCACUUGGAUAGGAACAGGCUUACAGGCUCUAUCCCAGAAUCAUUCGGUGCAUUUCAAGGCAACGUACCUGGCCUUUACUUGUCUCAUAACCAACUUUCAGGUAAAAUCCCUGCAUCUUUGGGCAAUCUGGACUUCGGUGCCAUCGAUUUCUCUCGCAACAAGCUUGAAGGCGAUGCUUCUAUCCUGUUUGGGCCAAAUAAAACUACCCAAAUCGUAGAUCUUUCCAGGAAUUUGUUGGAAUUUGAUCUGUCAAAGGUGGCGUUUCAAAGCAGCCUAACAUCGUUGGACAUUAAUCACAACAAGAUCUACGGUAGCAUUCCCCAGCGGAUGACUCAACUCGAUCUGCAGUUCUUGAAUGUGAGUUACAACAGGCUUUGUGGGAAGAUUCCUGUGGGUGGUAAGUUGCAGAGCUUCGAUUACUCCACAUAUUUCCAUAACCGUUGCUUGUGCGGCGCUCCUCUUGAAAGCUGCAAGAAAGCCUAAGCAUUUUCUUCAUGUUAAUUAUGUAAAAGUUGUUGUUCACAUAACGACUGUAGCUUGCUUUUGAGAAUGUAUAGCUAGAUUUAGCUCAAGCAUAUUUGUGGAAUGACCUUGAAACUUAUCCUGAUUCAGGAUUUCAAGAAUGUUAAUUGUGCAAUAUUUUUAAUAAUAAGAGAAUCUAUGGAUUUCG